rnacentral:lncRNA from 1 species
AGAUAAGUACGCAUUAAUAUUGCAUUAUUCUUCACUCGCAAGUGAAAAUUAUUAAUUUCGACUUAUUUGUGUUGAGUUCAAUAUUUAGUAAGUGGCUAGCUCAUUAAAGUCUAAUUCAAUCAUCCCUCAAUUUCGGAUAAAUUACUUCUCUUCCUUAGAACUAGAACAUCGUUGGAAUAUAGAAAAAAACAUAAAGCCAUUUUCUCAUUAACCCUCAAAUAGGGUAGGCUGAUAUGAAUGUACGUUAUGUUCCAGAGAAGGACAAAAGAAUACAUCGAACAUGUAUACACCUAUUUCAUCAUUUUGCGUUUUUGUAAAGAUAUUACCGCAACUGACAUGCAUACAGUUUAGGGGUUUUGUAAGACAUGUAUACAAUGGAGGGGGAUUCUCUACUCUCUUAUUCUCAUCCUCUUUCAUCCUUUCCUCUCACAUAUUGUUUUUUAUCUUAUUAUCUCUACAAAAAAAUCAAUAUAGAUGUUGACGUGGUUUAACUGUGACCGUUCAAAUAAGAGGGCAUGAAAGGGUAGAGAGAUUAGGAGGGUAGAGAAUCCUCCUCUGUAUAAAAUAUACAUGUCUAUGCAUUCUAGGCAAGGAAGAAAAUAUCGGUGAUAUCGGAAAUAUCGGUAGUCCGAAAACACGGAAAUAUCGAUGGAAAUAUCGGUAAAAUAUCGAUAUCGAUAAAAAUUACAUGGAAACCACAGAAAUUGUAAGAAAAACUUGGAAAUUUUUAUUGAAACUUUGUAGGAUGUUUAUUUAGUCAAUUAUCUAUU